rnacentral:rRNA from 1 species
UACGUAGGGUGCGAGCGUUAAUCGGAAUCACUGGGCGUAAAGCGCGUGUAGGCGGGAAGGCAAGUCUGCUGUGAAAGCGCCUGGCUUAACCGGGCGAGGUCGGCGGAAACUGCUUACCUGGAGGGCGGUAGAGGGGGGUGGAAUUCCCGGUGUAGUGGUGAAAUGCGUAGAGAUCAGGAGGAACACCGAUGGCGAAGGCAGCUUACUGGGCCAAAACUGACGCUGAGGAGCGAAAGCGUGGGGAGCGAACAGG